rnacentral:lncRNA from 1 species
CGUCGUCCCCUCGCCACCCCUCUUCCACAGACACGGUGGACGAUGGUGUAUCGCGACUACGACGCGCGGAACGACACGAAACACCACGAGCGGCAGCGACUAACCAAUGCGGGCGAAAGAGGCGAACGCAAAGGUGACGGCGACGGCGACGGCGGCAACGGCGGCGGCCGUAGCGACACGGUGGUCGUUGUCGGUUCGCGCUACGCCGACACUUUUGCCGGGUGCGAGCGACCCGGCCAACGACGUGUCAACUGGCGCGGGGUGCCCUCUCUCGUGACUCCCACCACGAUUCCGCACCGCUGAGGGAGAGUUCUCGUGUGUACCACUAGUCCGCACUGUUACCACCUAUGUUCGGACUGGCAUCGUGGCGUUGUUAAAGAGAAUCGGGAGGACGGCAUUCCAGAUAAGCGUUCAAUUCCGCUCGUCGGCGCAGAGAUUCGUUGGCUUUUCGCGAGGCGAAACGCGCUAUCGUUAGGCGGCGGUUCGGAGGCGACGUGGAUCUAGCGACAAAAUGCCCAAAUCGACAAUCCUCUCGCUGCUCUAACAUCGUCAGAAUGCGGAGCGCCGCGUUCGUGUGCGCGCACGAACAGCGGCGAGUCUCAAUCCCUCGGGCACCCCCAGAAGAGUAAAUUUAUUUCUUUCAUUACGGACGGAGCGGGUCGUGAGCUCUCGGAUAUCAGCGCUGCAAGGCGGGGCGCAUAAAUCUGCAGCCUAGCGUAGAAGAGAAGGAGGGAAGCAACGGAGAGAGCCAGAGCGAGAGAGUCCCAUGAUUUUUGACAACAAGCGGCGCGACUACAUUUUUAUCGCAGCACGCACUGCGUCGUCGUAAUCGAGCCACGCCAGUUGGUCCUCAUUGUGCGCCGAUAUACAUACAAGGCGGGCAGGGACACACGAAUAUCAAUGUAAAGCGAGGCGAAUCCGGGGGCUAGGAGCAAUCUCGGCAGUGGAUCGGCCAGCGGAUGACAGGUAUCGACCUGGAUCAACAUCAUUUUCCUGUGAAGUGCCACCGGCCCUAUCCCGCUCUCUUCUCCUCUGCCUCCUGUCCGUUCACUGUGUGCGUCUCUUCCUAGUCUAUAACCUAGGGCAUAUGCGUAUAAGCUUGUGCAUGAAGAGCGAGCUAGAGAGAGAGAGAGAGAGAGAGAGGGGAGGGAGGGAGAGAGAGAGAAGGAGAAAGAGGGACUGACGAGAGGGACGAAAGGCAGGGCGAGAGCGAGAGAAUUAUUAGCUGGCUACUCUACUCCACUACCUACCGUGUUUCUUGAUUACUAUCGGCGCAGCUGCGCCCACAAUUUGUGUUUCCCGUCAACCGUGCGUAAGAGAGCCGUCCGUCAACGUCGUGCCCAUAACGAUGCCAUAGUCUGAUGCUGAGACGCCGCUGAUAACCCGAUAUAGACACGUAUCCGUCAUAAGGCGCGUACUCGUAAUGUAUUCUUUCGCCCACCGAUAUAUCGCGCGAAGCGCGCGCGCUCGCUAUACGCUUUUAAUAAUACGCUCUUGAAUGAGGAGGCUGGAGACGACGGUCUGCGACGUCUGCGGACAGGCGUUAACAAGCGUGCGUGCAUAAAUCAUGGCUCUGUCAAUUAAACACGAUUAAUGCAAGCAUUAUGUAUCGGCUGGUAAAUAUGGAGGAUUUAUCGCGCGGACAAGACAAGCGCACAAAAGGUAUGUUUUAUGCGCGUAAUUAACAAUGACGAUAAUGAUGAAAUUAUGUGCGAUUUUUUCCCCGUCAUUUAUAACUCACGCAAAUUGCACAGACGAGAGAGAGACGGGUUGCACAACUGCUAAUAGAAUUGCGCGACACGAGCUCCUCCGUGAGACAUAAUGCUAUUUUAAUCGUUGGGCGAAUGAGCCGGUGUCAUAGUUACAUCCUACUCGCAUCUUGCACACCUCUUGGGCGUGGCAAAUUGCGCGCCGACAUGUAAUAGCGCGAUUAAGUCGAAUUAGUUUUUUCCGAUCGCGGGUAUUAUUUACAGGUCGUAUCGAGUUGAGUACAAACGCGAGUAUAACCACUAUGACACGGCAAUAAUUUGCCUCAAGAUGACAUGAGUGCACGCAAUAUGAAUAAAUAAUAUGUUAAAUGAAAGAUCAUAAAAUACCGGUUGCGGCGAUGAUAAAAAAUGCAAGAACUGUACACUUGAAAACUGGUUUUAAAAGCUUUCCUAGCAGUUUCGGAGUCAUUUUAUUGUUAACACGCGAGCAACGUGCGGCAUAUAAACAACUUGGCAUUUUAAUAUACUUCUUUUACAUAUUAAACUUAAAAUAUAUACAUAUAUACAUAUAUAUUAUAUUCAUUUCAUUCCCCGCAUUAUACGCUUUGCACAAAACUUUCCAGAUUUGGAUAUCCUACUUUCGCGGUCUUUUUUCCCUCUCCUGUUUAAUCAUAAUUUUCCAGGUUGUCUGGGCGGGACUGCGAACGUGGUAGAAAUGGACCGACGUUCGUUUUGUGGCAGGAGAAAAAGUAGGGAGAGAGGCGGUUGAAAUUUACCGCCGGCGGACAGAGGAGUGGCUGCAUGGCGGGCUGUCAGCUGUUUUCCGAAUUCUGUCAAUUCUUGUCAGUUGCAUCGACCAGUUUAGCAUAAAAAUGCUGUUACGGUAGAUGGUCGGCUUUCGAAGGCUUUGGCCGACACGGUACAAACGUAUCGUAUAUCAAAGCAGGCGGCCAUGGACGGGGAAAAUAAGAAAGUUUUUGUUCUUUUUAUGAAGCCACGGUCGCCGUGGGCGGUGUCUGAUAUACGAUCGGUGUUCAGCGUUUUGUUGACGAAAAAGCUACUGCAUCGGCAUGCAUUUUAUCUGGUAUACGCGAACAUCUUCAAUAAUAUUUAGCGUAAAGUAUACACACAUAUAUAUAUAUAUAUGAAUAAUAAAGCGUGUCUUUUUACAAAAAUUGAUAUGCAAUAUAAGUCGCGGCGGUGCAUCUAUUACGAAAUUUGCAACACCUCGAGCAUGUCCGCGCUUGUAAUAACAUGCUGCAGGUGAGCGCUAGAUCUAAUCGAACGCAUACAUGAAUUUCUAUUUCGGUCUUCAAACACUGCAUCGCAACGGUCCGCUUUCCCAGAUAAUUCCCAGAUUGAAUUUCAAGUAUAUACGAGCGCAUAUAUAUGAUCCUUGCUGAUUUAUCGGUCAGAUGUUUCAUCGGUCAGGUGCUAAACAAGCUGCCAUAUAAAAUUCCAAGCGGAAUUCAUUAAAAUGUCUCGAAAGCGAUAUCCAUAUAUGCCGGGGAGUGGCGCAAAUUUCAGGGCACGCCGGGUUUGGGCCUAUUCCCCGGAUGCCUAUUUAACUACUGUAGUUAACGUAAUAUGACAUCCGCCGCGGCAAGCGAUUACGGCGAACACGCGAUGCAAAUUUACGGUAUUAUCGUAAUAAACAGGUUAUAAAGGUUGAUAGCUUCCUCGUGUAUUGAAAUUACACCACUGCCGUGCGGCUUUUACACGCUCGUGUCUGCGACGCGACGGGUGUAUGCGUAUGCGUCCCCGCGCGCCCAUACAUACAUACACACACACACACACAUACACACACACACACACCACGCGCGCGCACGUGCAUAUACGUCGGACGUAUACAAACCGGGUACGUUAUUAAGAAUGUUAACGUAUGCUCGUGACGGGCUGUCAGGAACCCCCUUAUCCGGCUGAGCUCGCCUCGGCUGGCAGAUAUAAAUAUGCAAUAGCGCUUGUCAUGCGCAGCGCCUAAUAAUUGAAUGUAUAAUAAAGAAGGCGUCGCUCGGUGUCAUGCUGACAGACAGACUACAGAGAGACUACGAGCGAGAGGAGCGCGCAGACAAACGUCGACUGUCAAUUUCAUUUGCUUCUUCCACCGAGCCGCCUGUCUGCUUAUCUCGGACGUCUUUCGCGAUUGCUCCCGAUCGCCGUGGAACGUAGAAUCGACGCUUCCUGUCCUUUUUACGAACCGUGCAUUAAUUAGGGAUUUUAUUUCGAUCCGCCCAACUUCAUCAUCAUUCUCGAAAGUGAGCUCUCGCGAUGGCCCGAUCAUUACCGGUCAUUGCUUUUUUUUUUAUUUCACCACGAUUAUUAGCAUAUUUUAUUAUUCAUCAAUAUGUCAGCGAGACAAACAGAUAUUAAUCGAGACGGGGAUCUAAUUUAACAUUUUAUUCUUCCGAUCUUUCGCUCUGAGCCGCGCUAAGCGCAUUUCGAAUUCUCUUUCUCGAUUUUAAUCCCGGCGCUGCGGACCUAACGAGUGUAACGGCGACGAUAAAAAUAUCGUUCAAACGCCAUCAGCGGGAUGGUAGCCUAUCGCACGCCAAAAGAAGAGGGCUGUAAACGGCCGAUUCGAUAUCCAUUUGAGACUGAGAGUGCCCUCCACUUCCGUGACAGCUAGGCAAACACCGAGCUGACGUUUAGAAUAGCUUUUAUUUAUUCUAGCUUGUUUAUUUAGGCUGCCGGGAUCGCGUUACCUGAGAGGCCUUUGAGUGGCAGCGGGGGGGAAGGCUACCGUGUCAGCACCGGACCCAUUGUCACGCAUCAACCCAUCGCGUCCAGGACGACGCAAGCGCGUGACGCGAGCGUAACUGUGACGUAUGUGCAUGUGAAGAUUACGCGCGGGCUCCGGAUCGAAAAUAAUAUUUUCAUUGGAAUUUUCUGCUACUACGCGCCGCUUUUUACACAAACACCCCCUUUCGCGCGCUCGACAUCGAGCCGUGUUCUCGACUAUGUUUCAGGGGGGGAAAAAAAAACGAAAAAAACAAAAAAAAAAAAGAAAUGAGACACGUGUAGCGUAUUUACAAUGCGUCAUUCCGUUGUUGAAGCCAUUAAUUUUCUAGCGUGCGCGCUUUCCGCGGGACGUAUACGGAGAAUGUUUCUAGAUCACCCGGUGUACUGAAUACGAACUGGAGGCGUAAUGUAUUAUACCGGCCAGGCAGGUAUAUUACAGAGACCCGCAGUUAUGCGCGACGGGAUAUGAUUGAUGACAAGUCGUUGCCUGUUAUGAAUAUAAUAUCGAUCAAUCACGCUAUUUACCGGACGAAUGCAUAGGCCCACUCUAUCAUCCUCCCGUAGUUACCUACCUACCUAUCUAUAUCUCUUCCGACGCGACCUGCUUCCAUCUAAGCUCGGAGUCAUUUUUCAUUACUCACGGUAACGAAUGGUACGAAUUGUGUACGAUUUCUUCGCGAGCCCCCGUCGACUUAUCGAACGAAAUUGAUUCCGCGGUGAUACGUGUCUAUCCCCGCCGUAUCCCGAUUCGCUAUCAAGAUUGUCCCAAAUUAAUGAAUAACAGAUUGGGUUCCCCGUACGAUCGCGCGAUUGUGAAAUCUCUCUCUCUCUCUCUUUCUCGCUCUCGCUCUCUUGACUGAUUCAAUAAGUUAGCGAGUAAUAUUGCAUUAUUAAUUCUAGCACAUGCGCGGCGCGUACGCUUAACGAGCUCUUGUACCAAAACGGAAGUUGAUUAAGAGUGAUUUAUGAUUGCGGAACUUACAUUUUUAUGGAAGGUAACAGAGAGGUGGAACGGAAACCGCGGGUUUUUAUGGCAGAAAAAACGAUUAUCAUUCACGCAAGUCUUACAUUUCAGCGCGCAUUAAUUAUAGCUUAAAACACAAAUUAACAAAGUGGCGGCAUUAAGUGACGUGAUGUAUGACAAAGCAAGUAGGAAACUGUUUUUUACUUCUCACGCGAACGGAUAACUUUUAUUGGCGCGAGAGAGGCGAUCGCUGAGAUAUCGUCAUAAAUAAACAUUACUUUUGCAAAACACGCCACCGCCGAUUUAUCGCUGGAAAUAUGCAUUAUAUUAAAUAUUUUUCAUGCUCAACCUGUGUGUGCGGGACCUGCUUGGGUGAAACACUCGAAGACACGGCAGUAAAUAAGAGAUGUUCAAUUAGCAACAUCUUGUUACUUUCGCGUGUAUCGCACGCGCGCGAACUUGGCAGAUAUUCUCGCAAGGCACGGGUCGACGUCACGAGCAAGGCAGCUGGUGAAAUGUAGGAAGCGAAAUUCAUGAAUUCAUAUAUUCCUCGGUCAGAUAGCCCAGUCCCCGCAGCAUUAGCCGGAGUCGCAGUAUCCGGAGAUAGACGACGCUCAAUAAUAAGCGAAGCCUCGUUAAACUCUUGAUAAUAGGGUGAUUAUUUCUUGCUUCACGAGUCUUUCCAGCAAUUCUGGUCUCGCCUCGAGUGCCUUUCAGCCGUUCUUUGUGGAGCACGACGCGUACGUACGGAAAAGGAGGCAGCAGCACAGCAGCAGCAACCUCGUAGAAGGAGGCGUGGCUCGGUGCCGUGCUAACGACUCUCGCAAAAUCGUUUCCCCCUGCGCCAUCUUGAAGAUCCGACGUGACGUUAAACGAACUAUGCCGGAGCGAGGAAGUUCGGAACGAGGCGGUAACGACGAGGCACGCCGUAGGAGUCAUUUAUCACUGGUCGUACUUUAAGGGCGAGACUUACGAAGACACGCCGAACAAAGACCUCCUGCAUGUAAAACAUGCCCGAAAGCUUUUAUGAGCGCGUAUCAAAAACCUUAACGAACCUGGAGCGAUUUUUGACAAUGUGAUGACAAUGUAAUCUUUUAGAAAAUUAUUUACUAGAAGCAUCUGCUACAUUAUCGAGUUUGUCAGUCUUUAUUUACUCGUAUUGAUUUCGCAAUUUUGAAACAUUUCGUUUUCACUACAAGCUCUGAUUUGUCGAAAAUAAUGACAAUUCCUAAAUAUACAAAUUGCUCUUAUUUGCAAAUAAAUUUACUCAUAUCGAUUUCACAAUUUUGGAAAAUUU